GAUGAACGCUGGCGGCGUGCUUAACACAUGCAAGUCGAACGGUAAAGCCCUUCUUGCAGCGUCGGCUAGUGUAGCACGGGUCUGGUACCCGACGGUAAACUGCCCCUUGGUUUGGGUUAACUAUGCGAGAGUAGGACUACCACUGAUGAUGACUAAUCCCCCCUAAGCGGGGGGGGGAGAGUUGUAUUGGGUUUGGAUGGACUCGCGGCUUGUCAGCUUGUUGGUGGGGUUAUGGCUCACCAAGGCGACGACGGGUAGCCGGCCUGGGAGGGUGACCGGCCACACUGGGACUGAGACACGGCCCAGACUCCUACGGGAGGCAGCAGUGGGGAAUAUUGCACAAUGGGCGCAAGCCUGAUGCAGCGACGCCGCGUGAGGGAUGACGGCCUUCGGGUUGUAAACCUCUUUCAGUAGGGAAGAAGCGAGAGUGACGGUACCUGCAGAAGAAGCGCCGGCUAACUACGUG
rnacentral:rRNA from 1 species